rnacentral:sRNA from 1 species
AAUAAACAGCGGGUAUCCGGCCGUUCACAUCCCUCCUCGAACGUCUGCCUUUUACCCGCAGGCAAUUUGAAACUUUUUCCCUUUAAUUCUCCGUAGCUGCGUGACAGCGAGCCAGCGUGAUAUUCAACAUAAGGGUAUAUAUUUUUCUUAACUUUUCUAUUUCCAGAACACGCAAACUAUGGGCGCCGACAUCUUGCCUAAACGUGAGACUCACCAACAGGCUGUAGAUGAGAUUUAAGGUAUACUAUACCAUUGUCGGAUAUAGUUAUAGAUACAACGGACUCAAGAGUUAUGCAUUGCUGUUGCUGCCGCUGUUGAUGGCAUUUUCCCCUGAGCCAACGCCACCAUCUCAUGGAGAAUGAGUACGCAUUUGUGCCAUGGGAGGGAAAAAGAAAAAGUUUUUAGCACCAGCAGCCUUUUGUUUGUGUGUCAAAGGAGCAAGAGCUACACAUUAAAGAAUAUUGGUAGUAGAAGAUGUUGAUGAUAAUGAUGUUUUAAAUUUUGACCGGCGUUGGAGGAGGAAUGAGUAUAAGUAUAUAUACGAAAAAGAUCCUUUGUCGAGCUGCUUGUAAAAAUCACUAAUGGAAUGAUAUAUGAUGAUGGAUGGUUUUUGGGCACAAAAACACAUAGUACACCCUGAAAAAUAAUGUUGCUGAUAUCAGCAAACUAUAGCUGUGUUCGGAAGUCAAAAAUUUGUGCAAAUUUGCAGAAAUUUUUACUGGAAGUCGUUCGCGUACUUUAUUUGCAGCAGAAGAGAGCGUAAGAGAGAGUACAUUUUGACAGUUUAAAAAUAGAGAACUACAAAUUUGUACUGGAACUUUUUUUGCAAACAGAAAUUUGCAACUUUGAACAGAUGUUUUGUAAAGAUCAGCUGUUUUAAGAAAAGCAGCCGUUACAUGAAAAUACAAAAGAACGCCAAAAUAGAUCAAAAAGGCGGAGCUUCAUGACAGCAGCUAGUGUUCAGGUACAGAAAACUCGACAAAAGAAGUUGUAAUUUCAACUCAAGUCGGUUGUUCUACAUUAGAAGACACUAAGAAAAGAGCAAUUAUCGGCAU